AGAAAACACAAGGCUUUGGGAGGAGAAAUGGAUUCAAACUUUGUAGAUUCAGAAAUGAAAAAAAGUCACUUUGAUGGACCUCAAGGAGAAAGAAAAAUACGUGUAGCUGACAACAGAUUUAUUGAACACUUUAUUAUCAAACUACGGAUUCUCAAUUAUUCAACAAUAGCAUGAGCAGCAUCUCAGACAUGUUGAAAAAGAUGUUUUGAUUCCUAAAAUAAUGAGAGAAAAGGCCCGAGAGAGAUGUUCUGAACAAGUUCAAGUGUUUUCAAUCUUCUGACCAAUAGGUGAGGUUCAGUUCCAAAGGAAUUAUAUAAAAUACAAGGAAGCAUGGAUUGUUUGUUUCUUUGAAACAUCAAAGAGCUAUAGUUAAAUGACACAGAAGCUUGAUAAAAUGCCUACCCUUUUCUGACAGACACAACUGAAGUAUGUUACAUUUGCUAAAUUCUAAAGGAAAAGUUGCAAGGUCUGAGGAAGUAAGUCAUGGCAUCUAUAAACUGGUUAGGAACUGAAGUAUAUUAUGAAGUGAAAAUUGAAGCUCAGUUGCCCUCUAGGGGUUCAGUUUUAACACAGCACAUGUAGAGGUAAUUUAAUGAGAUCUUUUCUGGGAGGGGUAGAUCUGCUGAAUAGAGGAGCUCUAUUUUUCAUUUUCUGUUAGAGUGAGACUUGCCAAUAGCAAGCUGUUUUUGACUAUUUAUUGCAAAUGAGAACAUUCCACUUUUGCCACCUAUGCACAGGUUAAUUAAACAUCCUUUUUGGGGU